GGUCAGGAUGAACGCUAGCUACAGGCUUAACACAUGCAAGUCGAGGGGCAGCAUUGGGGUAGCAAUACUCAGAUGGCGACCGGCGCACGGGUGAGUAACACGUAUCCAACCUGCCGCUUACUCGGGGAUAGCCUUUCGAAAGAAAGAUUAAUACCCGAUGGUAUAAAGAGUUCGCAUGUUCUCUUUAUUAAAGAAUUUCGGUAAGCGAUGGGGAUGCGUUCCAUUAGAUAGUUGGCGGGGUAACGGCCCACCAAGUCUACGAUGGAUAGGGGUUCUGAGAGGAAGGUCCCCCACAUUGGAACUGAGACACGGUCCAAACUCCUACGGGAGGCAGCAGUGAGGAAUAUUGGUCAAUGGACGAGAGUCUGAACCAGCCCAAGUAGCGUGAAGGGUGACUGCCCUAUGGGUUGUAAACUUCUUUUAUAAGGGAAUAAAGUGAGGGACGUGUCCCUUUUUGUAUGUACCUUAUGAAUAAGGAUCGGCUAACUCCGUGCCAGCCGCCGC
rnacentral:rRNA from 1 species